rnacentral:rRNA from 1 species
AACGAACGCUGGCGGCAGGCUUAACACAUGCAAGUCGAACGCAUCGCAAGAUGAGUGGCAGACGGGUGAGUAACGCGUGGGAACAUACCCUUUUCUACGGAAUAGCUCUGGGAAACUGGAAUUAAUACCGUAUACGCCCUACGGGGGAAAGAUUUAUCGGGGAAGGAUUGGCCCGCGUUGGAUUAGCUAGUUGGUGGGGUAAAGGCCUACCAAGGCGACGAUCCAUAGCUGGUCUGAGAGGAUGAUCAGCCACAUUGGGACUGAGACACGGCCCAAACUCCUAUGGGAGGCAGCAGUGGGGAAUAUUGGACAAUGGGCGCAAGCCUGAUCCAGCCAUGCCGCGUGAGUGAUGAAGGCCUUAGGGUUGUAAAGCUCUUUCACCGAUGAAGAUAAUGACGGUAGUCGGAGAAGAAGCCCCGGCUAACUUCGUGCCAGCCGCGGCAGUAAGAC